GCCAUGGAGGGCCACUAAAGCAGGUGAUUUUAAUGAUCAACACCUUCAGUUUGAGGGAAGGAGCGCAUCAAUUAAAUCACCUGCUGAAGAAACUGGUUGGAGAGAAAAUCUGUAGCGUCUCGCCCUCCAGGGCACGAGUUUGGCACGUCUGCUCUACUACAUCAGCCCUGUGCACUUUGCUCCAAAGGCGUAAUCUCCGGCAUGCUGCGGCUCCUUCCCUUCCUAAAUCUGGCCUUAAUGGCCUCCUCCUCUCCGUCGUCGUCCUCCUCCUCGUCCGACCAAUCCACCUGCUGCUGCAGGUUCCCCCUGGAUCCCCUCAGGCCGCUUCCCUUGAAGAAGUAGCCUGUUCGGAAUUUGGUGCGGAAGGUGAUGAAGGAGAGGCUCUUGCUGCGCUGCUGCUUGAUCGGGGUGUUGUGAGGCAUCUGGUCGUCUUCUUCUCCCGAGGUCAGCUCCUCCAGGCAGUCGCGCAGCACCGAGCGGAACAGGCGGGGCACCUCGUAGACCUCGGGCUCCAUCUGGGACACCAGCCUCCUGAACCUGCCGUGGGAAGAAGACGCAGUCUCACAUCACAGCGUUCUUAGAAGUUAGCUGAACGACACGGCGGUGACGUGUGGUUGGAACUUUCAGGGGAAGUCUUUCUUUAACUUUCUUACAUUCAUAAUGGCUUUCUGCUCUCAAUUAGUGCAAAAAAAAAAAAAAACAGCACAGCGCUCCUGUUCUGAUCUUUGACUAACCUUUUUUUAGUCCUUAAAAGCAGCACAGCUCUCCUGUCACAUGGAGGAUCUUUGACGAGCGUUUUUGUCAUAGCUCUUAAAAAGAACACCGCGCUCACGUCGUACAGAAUCUUUGACUAGCGUUUUUACCACAGAUCCUUAAAAACAGCACAACACUCUUGUUAUAUGUACUGUAUAGAGGAUCUCUGACUAACAUUUUUGCAGCACGUCCAAUGCAGCGGAUCAUUUUUGUGAUAUAGAGGAUCUUUGACUCGCAUUUUUGUAGUCGCUCUUAAAACCAGCAGCAUGCUGCUGUUAUGUAGAGGAUCUUUGACUUGUGCUUUUGCAGCAUGUCAUUUUAAGAACAGCAAAAGUUUCCUGUAUAUAGAAGAUCUUUGACAUUGAUUUUUUUCCAGGAGGUGCUUAAAAACAGCAGAGUGCUCCUGGCACAUGGAGGAUCUUUGACAAGCAUUUUUGUAGUAGCUCUUAAAGACAGUAGAAUGCUCCCGCCAUAUAGAAUCUUUGGCUAGCGUUUUUGCAAAAGGUCCGCAAAAAAUAGCAGUGCGCUCCUGUUCUAUAGAGGACCGUUUUGCAGUAAUUUUUACAAUUUGCAGUAAGUCCAGUACAGCAGAGCAUUCCUGUCAUAUAGAGGAUCUUUGACUAGCAUUUUUGUAGUAGCGCUUAAAAAUAGCAGAGCGCAACUGUUAUAUAGAGGAUCUUUGACUAGUGUUUUUGCUGCAGGUCCUUAAAAACAGCAUCCUGUCAUAAAGAAGAUCUUUGACUACCUUUUUUUGCAGCAGAUCCCUCACGUUCUUCAUAGAGGAUCUUUGACUAACAUUUUUCAGCAAUUCCAGCAGAGCAUUUCUGUCUUCUACAAGAUCUUUCACCAGCAUUUUUGUCGUAGAUCCCUAAAAGCUGAGUGCUCCUGUUUAUAUAGAGGAUCUUUGACUCGCGUUUUUUUUUUUAGUAGAGCCUUAAAAGCUGUGGAACAUUUCUGUUAUAUAGAGGAUCUUUGAGGCACAUUUUUCCAGCAGGUCCUUAAAAACAGCGUGCUCCUGUCAUACAGAAGAUCUUUGACCAGCAUUUUUGCAGCAGGUCCUGAGCAUUUCUGUCAUAUAGAGGAUCUUUGACUGGCGUUUUUGUAGUAGAUCCUUAAAAACAGCAGCACUUUUCUGUUAUAUAGAAGAUCUUUGACUAACAUUUUUGCAGGACGUCCAACACACAUUCCCGCCAUAUAGAAGAUCUUUGACUGGCGUUUUUGCAGCAGGUCCUAAAAAACAACAGAGCGCUCCUGUGAUAGAGAGGAUCUCUGACGGCCAUUUUUGCACAGGUCCUUAAAAACAGCAGAGCGUUGUCUUACCUGACGAUGACCGGCCCGCACUGGGCGGGGGGGAUUUUGGCACAGAGGCCCUGCAGCUCCAGCAUGUCGUUGGGGGUCAGCUCAUACGGCUGCGGGUUCUGCGGGUUGGCCAGCCAGGUGUAGUCGGCCACGGAAGAGGAACUGCGGCGGCGGCGGCGGCCCUCAGCGGCCUGUUCCAGGCGGAUGCGUUCGGUGCGCUUCACCAUGGCGCCCAACUCCAGCAUCAGGGUGUUGGUGACCAGCUCCUCGCUGGUGCGCUGGCCCGGCACUUUUGGUUCAAGGGAGAAUACGGCUGACCAAGGAAACAUCUGGAAAACACCAUCAGAUGGGGCUAAUACUAAUACUACUUUAUAUUUAAUGCAGAGCUCUGUGUUUGGCCUUUACACCAGGGGUGUCCAAAGUGCGGCCUGGGGGCCAUUAGUGGGGACCUGCAGCAUUUUAAACAAAGGCAAAAUAUUAAAAGAAAAAAAGAUGUAAUCAAGUUUUACAAGAGUUAUGUCAUAAUAACAUCAUUUUAGUCAUAUUAUGAGAAGCAAAUAAGACAAAAAAUAAAGUUGUAAUUUUUGGAAAAUUAGGCUGAAAAAAAAGAUAUGUUACGGGAAUAAAGUCAUAAUGCAACGUGACCUGCUUGAAUGACUAUCGCCCUAUAGCACUCACUCCUAUUGUUAUGAAGCGCUUUGAAAGAAUAGUCAUGACCCACAUCAAAAAGAGCAUCCCGGCGGCAACUGUGGACCCUCUACAGUUUGCAUAUCGCCAGAACCGGUCCACGGAUGAUGCAGUCAACACUGCCAUCCACACAGCCCUUUCUCACCUACAGGGCCAGGACACAUAUGUCAGAAUGCUAUUUAUAGACUAUAGCUCUGCUUUUAAUACAGUCAGCCCCCACAAACUCACAAAUAAGCUCCUCACACUUGGCCUGUCACCCUCCCUCUGUAACUGGGUGUUUAACUUUCUCACAGGCAGGCCCCAGUCAGUCAGAGUCCACAUUCGCACAUCCAGCUCAAGAAUUGUGAGCACUGGGACCCCACAGGGGUGUGUGCUGAGUCCGCUCCUCUACACGCUCUUCACCUACGAUUGCGUGGCCUCCCAGGCCAUCAGGCUUCUCAACGAAGCACUCACACACACCGCACGCAACACACGCACACACUCAUAGCACUUUAUUAUUUAUUUAUUUAUCUGUAUUAAUGUCUCUUCUGUUGUUGUUGCUUAAUUUAUUGGUAUUUAUGUUCUUAUGUUCUUACUCUUUUUUGUGUUUUCUUUUUUUGGAGAAUGAACAGAAUAAGAAUUUCAUUGCAUAGCAGAACUACCUGUUUUACUGUGCAUAUGACAAUAAAACUCUUCAAUCUUGAACUUGAAUAAUGUAGAAGAAAGAACAUUUACAGUUGAAUUAGGAAAAAAAAAGAAAAAACAAGGGCUUAUAUUGAAAAAAUGACAAUUUUACGAGAAUAAAGUCAAAAUAUUAAGAGAAAAAAAUCAUAUUCUAACAAAUAAGGAAAAAAGUCUCAGUUUGACAAGAAUUCCAAUUUACAUGACAAUUCAUGGGGAAAAAUAUUAAAGAAAAAAGUCAUAACAUUAUGAGAAACAAACAAAACAAAGAAUAAAGUUGUCAUUUCUGGGAAAUUAGGUUGCAAAAUCUGUUAUGUUACAGGAAUAAAGUCCAAAUAUUAUGGGAAGAAAGUCAUCAUUUACAAAGAAAAAAAAUGUACUUGACGAAAGUUGAAAUAUUUGAAACAACAGCAGAAAUAUUUUUUUGAAGUCGUAAUUGUCACGCUUCGCAGGACAGGAGCGUGUACUUCCUGUCCUGCGCCAUUAUUCUGACAAGCGGUGCUUCCGGUGUGGCGGAAGGAACUGCCGCUCCACGCCUGGUGGCCGCACAGCUGCGGUCAAUACUAAUCAGUGACAGUUAAAAGACCAGCGCUGGUUCAUUGUGGUUGUCACUGUCAUUGAACCUCGUUGACUUUCCAGUGCUGUCACCUGUUUAUAUUUGGUAUUAUUUUUCCCACAGAGCUUUUCCUCUGUCACUUUUAGUUUUUUCUUGUCUUCUGCAAUAAAAUUACUUUUAUUUUUGCA